rnacentral:rRNA from 1 species
GACGAACGCUGGCGGCGUGCUUAACACAUGCAAGUCGAACGAUGAAGAAAAGAAUUGAAGCUUCGGCAGAAAUUCAUUUCGGAUUAGUGGCCGACGGGUGAGUAACGCGUGAGCAACCUACCUCUUACAAAGGGAUAGCCUCGGGAAACCGGGAUUAAUACCAUAUAACAUUGCGACGAAGCAUUUCGAUGCAAUCAAAGCUACGGCGGUAAGAGAUGGGCUCGCGUCCCAUUAACCAGAUGGUGAGGUAACGGCUCACCAUAGUAACGAUGGGUAACCGGCCUGAGAGGGUGAACGGUCACACUGGAACUGAGACACGGUCCAGACUCCUACGGGAGGCAGCAGUGGGGAAUAUUGCACGAUGGAGGGAACUCUGAUGCAGCGACGCCGCGUGAGUGAUGAAGGAAUUCAUGUCGUAAAACUCUGUUCUAUGGGAAGAAAAGGACUGUACCAUAGGAGAAAGCUCCGGCUAAAUACGUG